CGUACCUGCUACAAGAAAGAAAGGGAAGAGAGAGAAAGAAAGAGAAAAGAAAGAGGGAGGGAAGGAAAGAAGGAAGAUAUUUUUAUGUACAUCUGAGCUGGUAGACUAAUAUUUGUACUUGCUACAAAAAAGAAAGAAAGGAAUGGAGUGAGAAAGGGAGAGAAAGAGGGAGAAAGAAAAGAAAGAGAAAGAAGGAAGGAAGGGAGGAAAGAAGGAAGGAAGGAAAGAGAGAGAGGAGAGAAAGAAAAACAUUUUAUGCACAUCUGAGCUGGUAGACUAAUACUAGUACUUGCUACCCAAAGAGUACACAUGCUGUGACUCCAUAUACAUUAAAUGUCCAGAAAAGGAAAAUAGAAAAAGACAAAUCAGACCAGUGGUUGCCUGAAAUUGGGGAUGGCUUUGACUACAAAGAACUCAAGGGGAUUUUUGGGGCUGAUGGAAAUAUACUAAAUCUGCAUCGUAAUGAUGGUUUACAACUUUUUAAGUGUAAUCGAAGGCCAUGAAUCACAUACGAAUGGGGUGAAUUUUAUUGCAUGUGAAUUCUACCUCACUAGAGCUGCACAAACAACACCAAAAAGAAUACGACCUAAUAAUUAUGCCCAAUAAAGCAGGGUCCCCAACCCCCGGGUGGUGAACCAGUACCGGUCUGUGGCCUGUUAGGAACUGGGCCACACAGCAGGAGGUGAGUGGUGGUGGGUGAGCAUUGCGGUCUGAGCUCCGCCUCCUGUCAGAUCAGCGGCUGGGUUAGAUUCUCACAGGAGCAUGCACCCUAUUGUGAACUGUGCAUGCAAGAGAUCUAGGCUGUGCACUCCUUAUGAGAAUCUAAUGCCUGAUGAUCUGAGGUGAAACUAUUUCAUCCCAAACCGCCCCCACAACCACCCUCCAUGGAAAAAUUGUCUUCCAUGAAACCAGUUCCUGGUGUCAAAAAGGUUGGGGACUGCUGCAAUAAACGAUGUGCCCUGCUCCUGUGAGGCCACUGGUGUGGUGGCUGCAUGCAUCAUCUGCCCUGUGUUGACCUGGGUCUGGGCUUUGUCUCAGCUUUAGUCUGAUUCGGUUCAUCACUGGUUCCAAAUAUUCUGAGGAUGAGUUCCUUGGAAAGUUAAACAGAGGGUUACCAUAUGACCCAGCAAUUCCGCUUCUAGGUAUACUCCCCAAAGAACUGAAAAUGGAGACUCAAACAGGUACACGUCUAUGCCUCUAAUAGGUUGCUUUCCUUUCCCCGAAAUCCAGCAUGGAAGCAACUCCCUGUUUAAGAUGCGAGGUAUAUGGUUGAAGCCUCCAUCAGAAGGAGGCUCUGGCAUUAGGGUCCAACCUGCAGCCAAGUACCCAGAGUCCCUGGGACAAUGGCUCUGGUUUGAGACAAGCCAGUUCAGGAUGUGUGUGUUGUGCUCUGCUCCUCCUUCCUUUCCUUUGUCCCAUGGUUUUUGUUUGUUUGCUUUUUGAGACAGCAUCUUGCUCUGUCACCCAGGCUAGAGUGCAGUGGCACAGUCGUAGCUCACUGCAGCCUCGAACUCCUGGGCACAAGCUUGCCCAGGCUAGUCUUGAACUCCUGGCCUCAAGUGAUUCUUCUACCUUGGCCUCCCAAAGUGCUGGAAUUACAGGCAUAAGUCUCUGUGCCCGGCCUUCCCCAUGUUUUAAAGUCUUGAAACAGUAAACUCAUUGGGAAAGAGCCAGGUAUUUACCCCUUAGGUUAGGGUUGGUCCUCUGUAAAUAGUAGAUAAAAAUACCAUGGUCGGCCGGGCACGGUGGCUCAAGCCUGUAAUCCCAGCACUUUGGGAGGCCGAGGCGGGUGGAUCACAAGGUCAACAGAUCGAGACCAUCCUGGUCAACAUGGUAAAACCCCGUCUCUACUAAAAAUACAAAAAAUUAGCUGGGCAUGGUGGCACGUGCCUGUAAUCCCAGCUACUCAGGAGGCUGAGGCAGGAGAAUUACCUGAACCCAGGGGGCGGAGGUUGCGGUGAGCCGAGAUCACGCCAUUGUUCUCCAGCCUGGGUAACAACAGCGAAACUCCGUCUCAAAAAAAAAAAAAAAAAAAAGAAGACCACCCCCUGGGGUUUGUAGCAGAGGAGGAGUGGGCGCCAUGGCGGUUCUGCUGGAGACCACUUUGGGCGACGUCGUCAUCGACUUGUACACUGAGGAGCAGCGGCGUGCCUACUUGAAUUUCUUGAAAUUGUGCACAAUAAAAUAUUACAAUUAUUGCCUUAUUCACAAUGUACAGAGGGUUUUUAUCAUACAAACUGGUGAUCCUACAGGGACUGGCCGUGGAGGAGAGUCUAUUUUUGGCCAACUGUAUGGUGAUCAAACAAGCUUUUUUGAGGCAGAGAAAGUCCCAAGAAUAAAGCACAAGAAGAAAGGCACAGUGUCCAUGGUGAACAAUGGCAGUGAUCAACAUGGAUCUCAGUUUCUUAUCACUACAGGAGAAAAUCUAGAUUACCUUGAUGGUGUCCAUACAGUGUUUGGUGAGGUGACAGAAGGAAUGGACAUAAUUUCUUAAUAAUUAAGAAAAUUAAUGAGACCUUUGUUGACAAAGACUUUGUACCAUAUUAGGAUAUCAGGAUAAAUCACACGGUGAUUUUAGAUGAUCCAUUUGAUGACCCUCCUGAUUUAUUAAUCCCUGAUCGAUCACCAGAACCUACAAGGGAACAAUUAGAUAGUGGUCGAAUAGGAGCAGAUGAAGAAAUUGAUGAUUUCAAAGGAUGAUCAGCUGAGGAAGUUCGAAGAAAUAAAGGCAGAAAAAGAGGCUAAAACUCAGGCUAUACUUUUAGAGAUGGUGGGAGACCUACCUGAUGCAGAUAUUAAACCUCCAGAAAAUGUGUUGUUUGUGUGUAAAUUGAACCCAGUGACCACAGAUGAGGAUCUGGAAAUAAUAUUCUCUAGAUUUGGGCCAAUAAGAAGUUGUGAAGUUAUCCGGGACUGGAAGACAGGAGAGUCCCUCUGUUACGCUUUUAUUGAAUUUGAAAAGGAAGAAGAUUGUGAGAAAGCAUUCUUCAAAAUGGACAAUGUACUUAUAGAUGACAGAAGAAUACAUGUGGAUUUUAGCCAGUCUGUUGCAAAGGUUAAAUUGAAAGGAAAAGGUGAGAAAUACACCAAGAGUGAUUUCAAGGAAUAUGAAAAAGAACAAAAUAAUCCAUCUAAUUUGGUUCUGAAAGAUAAAGUAAAGCCCAAACAGGAUGCAAAAUACGAUCUUAUGCUAGAUGAGCAGGCAGAAGACUCAAAAUCAAGUCACGCACACACAAGUAAAAAACACGAGAAGAAAACCCGUCACUGCUCUGAAGAAAAAGAAGAUGAGGACUACAUGCCAAUCAAAAAUCCUAAUCAGGAUAUCUAUAGAGAAAUGGGGUUUGGUCACUAUGAAGAAGAAGAAAGCUGUUGGGAGAAACAAAAGAGUGAAAAGAGAGACCGAACUCAGAACCGAAGUCGUAGCUGAUCUCAAGAGAGGGAUGGCCAUCAUAGUAAUAGUCACAAAUCCAAAUCCAAACAGAUCUUUACGAAAGAGAAAGGGGUAAAAAGAGAGACUGAAGCAGAAGUCCAAAGAAAUCCAAAGAUAAAGAAAAAUCUAAGUACAGAUGAAAGAUGAAGAGACAGAAUUGAGUGGCUAACAUAUUUUCUCUUGUCUAACUUAGCGUGUCAGGAAAGCAGAUGCUUAGAUUUUGUGUCAAAGCUUGUUAUUUUUUUUCAUACUAGGAUUGUGGCCCUUUAGAUUAAUACUGAUUAUAUACGGCAUUAAAAAAUAAAGAACUGAACAUUUUCUUUGUAUACGUUUUUACAGUAAUUUUAUUGUUAAACAUAAAUGGUAGUCUUCAUUUUUGAAAUCUUUUACAUUUUCAUUUUUUUAAAUGAAAUAUUUCAUACUACAAAAAUACAUAAGCAUGUAUAUAUAAAGUAAAGGGAUAAUAGAUGUAAAUAUCUGUGUACUCAUCAGCCAGCUUAAAAUACAGAAUAUUGCCUCCAUUUUAGAAGUCCCUUAAGUGCCCUCUCCCUCUCAAGUAAUUAUUUGGAAUUUUGUGUUUGUCAUCUGCCUAUUAUAGUUUUACAACAUAUGUAUGUAUCUGUAAAUGAAAUGUUAAUUUUGUAUGUUUCUGAAUUUUAUAUAAAUGGCAAAAUGUUUAAAAAAAAAACCCAUGGUCAUAACACUGCUUAGUAAUUACUUCCUAUGCCUUUCCCAUUAGAAACUGUCUAAUCCCUGCCAUCUUUUGUACCAAUUCAAAACAGAGCAUAGAUGAAAUGUUAAGUCUUUGCUUCCUUGUUUUGCUAUAAAACUGUUAUGAGUUCCUGCAGCAAAAUCUCCUGUUGAAGUAUUCAUUAGCCAGAGCUGGUGAUUUGGGAAAAUAAUCACUGUAAUGCACCACAGUUCCUUGUCAUGGUCUGAAAAAUAUUAUCAUCUUUGCAUGCCUGAGGAGUGAAAAAUGGCCUGGCUGUCUAAUUUUAGACAUAGUUUUAACUUCUUUGGAUUAAAUAAUUGAUCAGUAGUAG